UACGAAGGGGGCUAGCGUUGCUCGGAAUUACUGGGCGUAAAGCGCACGUAGGCGGCUCUUUAAGUCGGGGGUGAAAUCCUGGAGCUCAACUCCAGAACUGCCUUCGAUACUGAAGAGCUUGAGUCCGGGAGAGGUGAGUGGAACUGCGAGUGUAGAGGUGAAAUUCGUAGAUAUUAGGAAGAACACCGGUGGCGAAGGCGGCCAU
rnacentral:rRNA from 1 species